rnacentral:rRNA from 1 species
UGCCAGCCGCCGCGGUAAUACGGAGGGUGCAAGCGUUGUUCGGAUUUACUGAGCAUAAAGAGCACGUAGGCGGCUCGCUCAGUCAGGUGUGAAAGCCCACGGCUCAACCGUGGAACUGCAUCUGAUACUGGCGAGCUUGAGGAUGGAAGGGGUGAGUGGAACUCCAGGUGGAACGGUGAAAUGUAUAGAUAUCUGGAGGAACACCGGUGGCGAAAGCGGCUCACUGGUCCAUUUCUGACGCUGAGAUGCGAAGGCAUGGGUAGCAAACGGGAUUAGAUA